CACGUUUUCAGCAAAGGAGGUCUCACGUUUUUUCAGCAGGUGACACCAAAGUUUUUUCCAAUCCCAUAUUCCAAACUUCAUCCAAAACUCACAACAUUCAAUCUCCAUCACCCAUUUAAAAUAAUCAAGGGCCAGAUUUCACCUAAUGAAUUUCACACGGAUUCACAUUUCAAGCUCCAAGCAAUUACGGUUUCCUCACCAUUCUCACCAUCCCACAGAAAUCGUGACUCACAAUUCUCCCUCUCAAUUUUCCCUCUCCAAUUUGUCACACAAUCCUCACCAAUUCACGUCUAUAAAUACAGUUCAGAUCAUACACAGAAAGGAGGAAGAAAAGCACCGCUCUAAUUUAGCAACACGACGCACAAUCAACCUGAAGGCAGAGUUCCGAUUUAUUUUCGGAGAAGAAGGAGCACGUUUGUUACCUCUGGUUUUCUUGGUCUUCGGGGUCGGUGUUAAGAUUCUCGGACUAGCUCCGAGCUUGCCUGGUACAGGUACCUGUAGGCACAAAUGAAGGUACACUUUGGCCUUCAUGGAGAUCUUGACAUGGAUUGGAACUUGAAAGCACAGCUUGUGCACUUGCUGCCAAUUAAUUCGUAGAAGACAAAAAUGAAGAUGACAAUUGACAUGGAAUUGGAAUUCAGGUGGCACGAGUCAAAGGGUAGUACAUUGACUUUGGUCAACUGUUUGACCAGAAAGUCAACAGUUGACUCAAAGUCAGCUUUAGGUUAAAAAUGAAUUUUUUCUUGUAAUCUUUUCUUGCAAUGAUGUAUUGUUGUUUUUUUGUUUUUUUAUUUUAUAAUGGACCUUUGAAUGUACUUCAAGUAAGUUUGAAUGUUGCUCUUUCCCUCCAAUUCCUUUGAAUAAAAAAGAUCUUCUCUUUCAAAUUUGCCCUUGAUUAUCUUUGAAUGUAGACUCACCUCAAAUCUCAAUAAAUGAAUUCCAAUCACCUUGCAUCUUGAGAUAACUUGAUUCUCUUAACGAAACUUUACCUCCAUGUUUUAAUGACAAAACUUGAAUCUUUAAUUUUAAUUCCUAAAAUCCAAGUUACCUUGCAAUUGAAGUAACAGGUGUUUGAUGAGGAUUGAAAGUCAUAUUGACCAAAACAAGUGAACGAAUCAAUUUCCCAUGUCAUUGAGGAAUCCUCGAAUGAGAUGAUACUUGAAGCCUAGAGGAACACCUUAACAUGAAAUCCCCUGAACUUCAAUUGAAUUAGCAAACUUUGAUACCAUGGACAAGAAACCCUAAUCCAAACCGUAAUUCACUGAUACACAUAGGGAGAUAAACCCUAACCGGAUACCUUGGUUAAUUUGGAUGAAGAAUAGCCUUUGUAGCUUGAUAAAGAAGAAAUCCAUAGUGCCCAUACUUCAAACCUUAAUUCCAUAGUCCAAUGCUCAAAGAAGAGAUAAAUGAAUCAAGCUCGAAUGAAGUAGAAACCCCAAAUUUUCAAAUCCUUGAUCCCAAGCCAAGUUUAUUGAUUAGUGAUGCAUGAUUUGUUAAAUGACCUAAUGGAGAUAUGUACAUGAGAUAAUGAGAUGCAUAAGCUUAUUAGAAAUAAAUAUGUGGGCAAAUUUUGGGGUGCAACAACAAGGAAUGUGGUUUAUCUGCCUUGUACAAAGCCUAAGGUUGUGGCUACUUGAAGGUGAAUGACUUACUGGGGAGACUCUAUUGUCUGCCUUGUACAAAGCCCAAGGUUGUGGCUGACUCUCUAGGGGAAUACCUAUAAUGAGGUAAUGACUCUAAAGGUUUUUUUGUUGAGGAUUAUGCUUUUGUUAAACAAGAAUUGAUGAACGAAAGACCCAGGUUUGAAGAUGUACUCUACUGGGGAAUUUGUCUUUUAAAAGCUGAAUUUUGGAAGCUAACCCUUUCAAGGGAAUUAUGACUUUAGAGGACUGGUUUUGGAGGCUAACCCUUUCCAGGGGUUUUUGUUAAAAUGAAGGAAUUAAUGGAGGCUAACCCUUUCCAGGGGUUUUUGUUAAAAUGACAGAAUGAUUAACUAUUUGAGACUUCUUGUUUAAAGCCCAAGAUUAAGGCUGACACUGACUAAGGAUAGACAGCUAUGGAACCUAGACUCUGCUAAAGAGGAAAAUUAUUGGAGAUUGAAGAUAAAGGUAACAAAGACUGUCCAUGUCUCUCAUUCCAAAAGGUGAACUCAAUACUGAGAAUGAGACAUUCUUAGCUUGUUUAAAGUCUGGUUUUAAGAAUAGAAGAAACUCACCAGGGUAGGCUAAAAGGUGACUAAAGACCUGUUCCUAUGUUUAUAAGAAACCUGAUGGGUCCUUGUAUACAAGCUCAAGAGUAAGCUGGGAAUGCUUUUAAGAAGCUUGUGGGUCCUUGUACAAAGCCCAGGAGGAGGCUAAUCGAGGGUCAUUGAGGGUCCUUGUUAUAGCACAAGAGAAAGCUAUAUGGUUUUGAACUUAUUUUGGCUCUAAGCAAAUGGGUAAGAGGUUUCACUGGGAAUAAUUCCUCUUGGGUGGAUGUAUCCUAAUUUGGGUUCUAAGGCAUUUUUCAAGAUGUUUCACCGGGAAUAAUUCAUCUUGAGGGUUUGAACUAAAGAUCUCUAAUUAGGAAAGAGCCUUCAUUGGGAAGACAUUCUCAAUCAUAGGCCAUAGUCCUAUAAUAUAUAUAUUGUUUAACUGUCCUAAGGUUUACACUCAGACGUAGUCCUAAUAUAUAAACAAUUUAUAUUUGACAGUAAUUUAAAUGAAAGCUUGUAAAUAGAAAGCUAUAAAGCCUAACCUAGAUGGAGUGGAGGCCUUUGAAGAUGUAUGUACAAAGCCUUACCAGCAGUUUGAUUGUUUAUUGAUAAUAGUUGAAUAUUUAUUAUAAACAGUUAAAGGUUUUUGAAAACAGAAGAAGUGAAGAUGGUCAUUAGGUCACAUAGGUAUCUGAAGAGUUUCACCGGGAAUAAUGCCCUUCAAAUACCAGAAGAAUGUUUUGAAAACAGAUGAGAAGAUUUUGUAAAUACAAUUUUUGAAAACAAACUAAGAAAAGAAAAGGUGUUGGGUCUUACACUCUAUUAGAGGCCCAGAGAUUUAUUUACUGUUUAUGAGAAACAGUUGAAUGAUGAUUUGAAAUGAUUACUAUUAUGAAAACAGUUUUUACGAGUUUUAGGCUUAUCUCGAAGAAUGAGAAAAUUGGAUUUCUGAGUUUGAGGUGUUACCUUGAUCCUCAAGUGAUAUGCUUGGAAUAAAUUAGGAUCUCAACAGAUGUUAAGCAUCCACACCAGCAGCAAAGAACGUCGGAUAAGCUCACAGCUUACAGCAUUCUAUGAUCUUUCAGUAAUUGUUUAAGGACUUCUACAUCAAAUGGAAGACCAAACAGAACAGACAAAGCCAAAAGACAACGGAGAAAUAAUCUCGGAGUCUCGGAUAAAAUAAGAAAAUUCAAGUAAUAUGUGCAACAGUAAUCAAAUAAAACUUAAAUGAUUAACUCCACAAAAUAAAAAUACUAAGUCUUUUUUAUGCAAAACUUUUCUCAAAAAAAAAAAAUAGAAGAAAUAGUUAAUAAAAAGCUUAAUAAUUGGGCCUGAGGUGUUGAAAAACGAAAUGGAGGUGCAGCGCCCAAUAUGUGACAAAAAGCUGGAAAAAAAGUUGGGCCGGACCGGGUCGGGUCAGGAUGACCCGAAUCCGCCCUUCCUUCUAAACACACGGAUGGGUUGGAAAAACCCUAAGCAAAAGAAAGAGGCAGAAGCGCCUCACCCUCUCAUUCUCGUUCCUCUAUUGCUCUAUCUCUCACGAUAAUUUAUGGGAAGAACAGAGAAAUAAUCAACACCCAUAACUUGCCUCACUCUCUCAGUUUCUCUUGCUCUCUCUCUCUCUCUCAACAAAAAGCAAUCAAACCUUUCACUCGAUUUAUUUAUCUCUCUCGCGAGUUCUCUCUGCUCUCUUUUUUUGCUCGCGAAGUGGACGACAACAACAACAGCCUCUCAGCGGAAAUUUCACGGUGACUAUGGAAUCUCACAUCGAUGAGAAGUGAAACCCAGUUUUGUUCUAAGCAGAGAACUAUGAUCAUAACAACAAUAUUGAGAGUGAAAGUGUAGACGACUUACCUACGAUGAGGAGGUGUUCGCCGGAUUGUGUUGAGCAUUGGCGUUUCCAUUGCAGGUGUGCUUCGUGCAGGUGAGCAAGAACCGUCGGCUGUCGUGUUGAAGAUGCAAGUUGAAGAGGAUGGCUUUUGAUGAAGGUGAUGCCAUAACACCUCUUUGGAUUGUGGGAGACUUGAAGAUGAAGAUCUUCAAGUGAGGUAUGAAGAAUUACCUCCUCCUUCUUUGUAACUAGAACACUCACCUUCAAUAGAGAGGCUCUUGGCUUGAGAAUUUCUUCUUGCCAAGAGUUCUAUUGAACAAUAUGAGCAAUAGAGAGAAGAGAGAAAGCAAGUAGUAAAGUUGUUUUGGUGUCGUUUGAUACUGAAGUAUGCACUUGUAUUUAUAGGCAAAAGGCUCAGAGCAAUUGGAGAUAGUAAGCUUGCUUAAUGAGGUUAACUCGGUUUCUUGGUUAUGAAGGAAUUUCAAAAAUAUCCAAAAUGCAAUGAUGGCAAUUUUGAUUCCAUUUGAUCAAUCCCUUAGCCAUCGAUUUUGUGUGAUCUUAGGGGACAAUUCUGUUGGAGAAGUGAACUCUAAUUGGCUUAGGAGAAGAUUCUUUGGUGAUUCAUCAAGAUUCCAAUUUUGUAAUGAUUACUUAAUCACAUGGCAUUGAAUUCUUGCAACUUGGCCAAAAAUGAUGAAAUAGUGCAUUUGAUUCCUCCAAAUCUCUUCUGAUGUAUCAUGGACGAGGAUGAAUCAAUUGGUAUAGGCAUUGGUACAAAGUUUGCAAAUAUUCCAAUUUGGGCAUGACCUAUAAUUUCUCUUCAUGAGCUCAACUUUGAAUCAUCAUAACUCCUAGCUCAAAAUGAAUUUGGAGAAGGUUGAGCAUAAUUUGGAAAGCCCUUAACAUGUACUUCAAUUCAUUAGUUUGGAGUUUUUUCAAUAUCAUUUGGGAAAUUUGUGAAAAAUGGGCUUAAAGUUUGAAGAAAACUAGGGUUUUUUGACUAACUUCAUGGAGGCAGCCACUUUGAAGCUCCAUAUCUCUUCAAUGGUUGAUUUCUAGCCAAAAAAUCAUAUGUGACAAAGUUGUUCAUUGGAUCAAAAUCUACAAAUUUGAUGUUGGAAGUUUUUUUCAGUUUGUACUUGAAACUUUGAGAUAUUCCCUUCCAAAGUUUUGAAAAAAAGACCUUUAAACACUUAGAAAAAUUUCUAAGUAUGAAAAGUCAAUCUUUGACUUUUUGAUCCUUAAUUGAUUUUCUUGAUUUUUCUUGUUCAAAUGACUUCAAUAAUCACAUAUUGAUGAUAUUGAUCCUUAAAAGUCAUGUCUUGACCCAAAACCUUAAAAGUCAAAGAUGACCUUGUACGGUUGACUUUUUCAGAUGGAGUGAAAUCUUGGACCUUUGUGUUGAAUCAAGCUCUCCUCAAAUGGAUAAUAUGAAUAGAUUAUAUUGAGGUAAUAGAAGUUCUUGAGCUAUGUUUUGAGUUUUGGAUUCAUGUCCUGAUUAAAAGUCAACUAUCUAGGUGAAUUAGGUCUGAAACCCUAAUUGUCGACCAGAUGAAAUUGAUGACUGUAGAUCUUGAAUUGAAGUAUAAUGCUUAGUGGAUAUUGUCAUAUGGAUCAUUUGAAGAUGAUUGAAUCCUUUGAGUGAUGCCCUGGGGCUUUUUAGGGUUUCCCAAAUGUGGUCCCUGAUCUUAGUCCUUGAUGAGCCCAAAACCCUAGUCUGGUGAUCUGAGCAAACCUGAGCCCUGAUGACUGAUGUCUAAUAAAUCAUAGGUAAAUAGAAUGAAGCUCUUGAGUCCUGUGAUUGAAUUACAGACUAAUCCUUUUAUUGAUUGAUCCUUUGCCUGAGCUGUCUUAUCCUUGAACAUCCUUGAUUAAGUAUCAGAUGAAAAAAUGACUGCUCUGAGUACUUGUCUUGAGUUUGAUGAAAUGUCUGAAGGUGUGACAUCUCAGGGGGGUCAAAAUUAGGGUAUGACAAACGCGCAUCCAUAGAAUGUGUAAAUACUAUUUUUUGCGUUCUUACAAAGUGAUUGGUACAACAUGGCCAAAACGGCGGACCCCUAACUAUACUUUCUAAUUUUAUUGAUGUUGUCAAAUAAAGUUAAAUAAAAAAAAUGGACAAUGUUACCUCUCGACUCUGGAAAUAAGAGGUUACCAAACAUUAUCAUAUGGUAAACCUUAGUUUUAAGGAAAAUUUGGUCCUCAGUUGAGUUCUCGUCUAACUUAAGCUCCUUAUAAUACUCUUUAAGGGAUUUAAGAUUGAUACCUCGGCCCCUUGAAUUCCGGUCUGUCACAAUCAUGUCCUUGCCCAACACCACCUCACAUAGUUCAUUUGCAUGUUGAACACUUCCAUUAACAACCUUCCUAUCAAUAGGCAGACUAAGCAACAUGUAAACAUCCUCCAAAGUUAUUGUACACUCCCCUAUUGGAAGAUGUAACGUGUGGGUUUUAGGCCUCCAUCGUUCUAAUAAUGAAAGUAUGAAUUUUGGAUUUGAUGUCACAAGCUUCCAGAUACAGAAUAUCAUCUCGUUAGAAGCGACAUAAUUGUGAGAACGACAACAGAAUCACAAAACAUCCUAAAAAUGGCAUAUAAGUAAAUUAAUAUGGACAUCAUAUAAGUUUAGAUGUUAAGAAUAAUAGAUGUAUGCACUUACAAAUGUUUGAAGGUUCGCCUUAGUUCCUCUGUGCCUUGCACCCAUGUUUAGAAGUUGAGACAUCUUUAAGAACUCGAAAGUUGAAAAUAUGUGAAGAAGUGAGAUGACCUGCUUUUAUAUUUUCAUAUUAUGUGAUUUAAUUAUGAUAAGAUGCUAAGUGAAUAAC